GACUCCUGCUUCUCGGGUCCCGUGAUGCUCCCCUGUGCUCGGCACUGACUUGUGAGCUCUCAGGCUGCCGCCACCCAGAUGCCCUCCUGCUGGGCUCCGUUUCUCGUCCCUCCAUCUCCCACGGCUCCUCCUUGGCCCCAGCCUUAUCUUUACAGCGGUCGUCACGGUCCUCACACCACAUGCAGAACAUGGCCCUGCUUUCCUCUGGACAGAUGGCAGGCGAUUUCCCUCCACCCACGACGUCGUGGGUCUGUCACUGAAGGGCCGCAUGGCCCCGGGUUCCUCUCAUUAUGGCGCCGGGUCCCAGACACUUACUUGUCCUGCAGCCAUCAGAGGGAAUUAAAAUGAACAGCCGCCCUGACGUGAGGGGAGCCGGUCCGAGACGCCAUGGUUACCCACUCACAGCAGGAAACUCGCAAUCAAAUUCUAACAAAAGGUCACAUUUGCAAUAAGUAAAAAGGAAAUGUAGGUAAUUGGUUCUGGAGCCCGUUAAUACCUCUGCAGCCCUGAGAGGCAAUCUGAUGGACUUGAAACCUUUUUGUUCAGGGAGACUUUGAGGACAGGCAACAUGGGGGGACACAGUGCCUCUCCAUGCGGACCCAGGACUCAACCUAAAACAACCAGGGCAAGCACUCGGCGAGACGAGGAGGCCCCCGGACAGGGGCUGGCAGUGCACUGGUCCCCGAGGAGCUCGCCUUACAGGGGAACUGGCGAAGUCCAGCUGCAAGGUUUUGAAGCCAAAUUCAUCUGAAUCUAAACCAGCUUGGUUUGGAGUCUCUCCUUAGGAGCCUGGAGUAGCAGCUCCGUCCUGAAGGUGGCUUUCUCGAAGAAACCGUUGGAUUUUCCUCUCCACAUGGGACUUCCUCUCAACCCAUGAGAAGUAAUUUGGACAGUGACCUAAAUAACUUGUGAGAUAAAGAAGGCGUGAUCGAAUCACCGUGGUAACUGCAGCGUGGCUCACAAAGGCAUCGAUCUCACAUGUGACACUUGCGUGUGGAACCACCCGGUUGACUUCUAGGAAGGAUGGCACAGCAGUCCCACCUGUGCCACUGGCAGUGAUGACAAACCAUUUUUGAUGGGUGAUUUAUUUUUCAUGGCGACGGCGUUCUCUAGUGUCUGAUUAGAGGAGCGGCUCAUUCUUCCUAUUUUCAAGUGGAAUAGAUUUUUGAGGAAGAUUUCAGCUCACCUGGGGGUUUGGAUCAGAAAAAUUCUGUGGCUUAUAAAGUCAUUUGUUCUUUUGCUGUGAUUGUAUUCACAGCAGAAGGGUGAGCGAAAGGUCAGCAAUAACUCUGCUGUUGCAUUUUAGCUGGAAAAAAUGUAAUAUUGAUCCAUAAGAAAAUGGAGAAGCUCAAGUGUGAGAGGCCUCAUUUGAUCUUCUGCGACCUUUCCCCCACCAUGUUGAUUUUACGCUUAAAUGUUAUGUCUCCUCUUUAAAAGGUUUGUCCUGUU